rnacentral:rRNA from 1 species
UACGUAGGUGGCGAGCGUUGUCCGGAUUUACUGGGCGUAAAGAGCGCGCAGGCGGUCGUGCAAGUCGCGUGUGAAAGCCCCCGGCUCAACUGGGGAGGGUCACGCGAUACUGCUCGACUGGAAGGCAGGAGAGGGAAGUGGAAAUUCCCGGUGUAGUGGUGAAAUGCGUAGAUAUCGGGAGGAACACCAGUGGCGAAGGCGACUUCCUGGCCUGUUCUUGACGCUGAGGCGCGAAAGCUAGGGUAGCAAACGGG